rnacentral:rRNA from 1 species
AGCCAUGCACGUCUAAGUACAAACUAAAUGAUGGUGAAACUGCAAAUGGCUCAUUACAACGGUUAUGAUGUACCCGGGAGUUCCGAUGGAUAUUUCCAGUAACACUAGAACUAAUACAUGCUCCUGCGUUUAUUAGUUUCGCACAGUCCGUCGCUGAGUCAUGGUAAACAGUUGAUCGACUCGACGUCCCGGAACAGUUUCCGCCCCAUCAGCUUCGAUGGUUGGGUAUUGGCCUACCAUUGCAACAACGGGUAACGGGGAAUUAGGGUUUGAUUUCGGAGAGGGAGCCUGAGAAACGGCUACCACAUCUACGGAUGGCAGCAGGCGCGCAAAUUACCCAAUGCAGACUCUGUGAGGUAGUGACGAGAAAUAAUAAAGCGGGACUUCUGUUUCGCUAUUAUAAUGAGGAAUAACCAAAGGUCAUUCCGAUUAGCAACUGAUGGGAAAGUCUGGUGCCAGCAGCCGCGGUAAUACCAGCGUCAGUAGCAUAUAUUAAAAUUGUUGCAGUUAAAACGUCCGUAGUCUGUACGUCGUCCCAAACUCACUGCAGUCUUCCGUUUUCUUCAUUGAAUGCGGUAGUUUCUGCAGUCACUCCCUUGAUCAAAUUAGGUUGUUCAAGGUAGACCAAGUCUUCAUAUUUUCACAUGGAAUUGGGUGAGGGAACUUAAGAGUUUAAGUUUCUCGUCUUAGGAUCAUCCGGGGUCAUUCGUACUCGUCCGCGAGAGGUGAAAUUCUUGGACCGGACGAAGACGACCAGCAGCGAAAGCAUCUGUCAGGGAUGUUUUCUGCGACAAAGGACGA